rnacentral:lncRNA from 1 species
CUCAGGCCGCCCAGGAGCUGUCCCAGCCCAGGGUCUUGGGGCCCCUGCCUGAGCCUCUCCUGCAGCCACGAGGUUUCUCCUAAGCCGCUGAAGCAAUAUGGCUCUGCAGCAAUAAAGGAAGAGGAGGAGCAGGGGAGGAGGGAGGAGGGGGAGGAGGAGGGGAGGAGGAGGAGGGAGAAGGAAGAAGGAGGAGGGGAGGGGAAGAGGAGGAGCAGGGGAGGAGGGAGGAGGAAGAGGGAGGAGGGAGGAGGAGGGGGAGGAGGGAGAAGGAAGAAGGAGGAGGGGAGGGAGGAGGAGAAGGGGAGGAGCAGGGGAGGAGGGAGGAGGGAGGAGGGGAGGGGAAGAGGAGGAGCAGGGGAGGAGGGAGGAGGGAGGAGGAAGAGGGAGGAGGGAGGAGGGGAGGGAGGAGGGGAGGAGGAGAAGGGGAGGAGCAGGGGAGGAGGAAGAAGGAAGAGGGAAGAGGGGGAGGAAGGAGCAGGAAGAAUAGGAAGAAGGAAGAGGGAGGAGGGGAGGGGGAGGAGGAGAAGGGGAGGAGCAGGGGAGGAGGGAGGAGGAGGAAGAGGGAGGAGGGGAGGGGAAGAGGAGGAGCAGGGGAGGAGGGAGGAGGAAGAGGGAGGAGGGGAGGGAGGAGGGGAGGAGGAGGAGGGGAGGGGAAGAGGAGGAGCAGGGGAGGAGGGAGAGGGAAGGAGCAGGGGAGGAGGGAGGAGGAGGGGGAGGGAGGAGGGAGAGGGAAGGAGCAGGGGAGGAGGAGGGGGAGGGAGGAGGAGGGGAGGGGAAGAGGAGGAGCAGGGGAGGAGGGAGGAGGAGGAGGGGAGGAGGAGGAGGGGAGGGAGGAGGAGAAGGGGAGGAGCAGGGGAGGAUGGAGGAGGAAGAGGGAGGAGGGGAGGGGAAGAGGAGGAGCAGGGGAGGAGGGAGAAGGAAGAAGGAGGAGGGAGAAGGAAGAAGGAGGAGGGGAGGAGGAGGGGGAGGAGGGAGGAGGAAGAGGGAGGAGGGAGAAGGAAGAAGGAGGAGGGGAGGGGGAGGAGGAGGAGGGAGGAGCACGGGGAGGAGGGAGAAGGAAGAAGCAGGAGAAGGAGAGGAGGGGAAGAGGAGGAGCAGGGGGAGGAGAGAGAAGGAAGAAGGAGGAGAGGGAGGAGGAGGAGGAGGGGAGGAGCACGGGGAGGAGGGAGAAGGAAGAAGGAGGAGGGGAGGGAGGAGGGAGAGGGAAGGAGCAGGGGAGGAGGAAGAAGGAGGAGGGGAAGGGAGGAGGGGGAGGAGAGAAGCAGGGGAAGGAGGGAGGAGGAGGGGGAGGAGCGGGUGGGGAAAGCGCAGGGUGGGGGGUGGGCGGGAGGCAGGCCCCGCCCCUGCCGCAGUCCCAUCUCGGGCAACUUCCAAGGCGCUGGCGGCUGGAGCUGGGACUAA